rnacentral:rRNA from 1 species
AGAGUUUGAUCAUGGCUCAGAUUGAACGCUGGCGGCGGGCUUAACACAUGCAAGUCGAGCGGUAGCAGGCCUUCGGGUGCUGACGAGCGGCGGACGGGUGAGGAAUGCAUAGGAAUCUGCCUAUUAGUGGGGGAUAACACGGGGAAACUCGUGCUAAUACCGCAUACGUCCUACGGGAGAAAGCGGGGGAUCUUCGGACCUCGCGCUAAUAGAUGAGCCUAUGCCGGAUUAGCUAGUUGGUAGGGUAAAGGCCUACCAAGGCGACGAUCCGUAGCUGGUCUGAGAGGAUGAUCAGCCACACUGGGACUGAGACACGGCCCAGACUCCUACGGGAGGCAGCAGUGGGGAAUAUUGGACAAUGGGCGCAAGCCUGAUCCAGCCAUGCCGCGUGUGUGAAGAAGGCCUUCGGGUUGUAAAGCACUUUAAGUGGGGAGGAAGGUUAGUGGUUUAAUACGCUACUAAAUUGACGUUACCCACAGAAUAAGCACCGGCUAACUCUGUGCCAGCAGCCGCGGUAAUACAGAGGGUGCAAGCGUUAAUCGGAAUUACUGGGCGUAAAGCGCGCGUAGGUGGUUUUGUAAGUUGAAUGUGAAAUCCCCGGGCUUAACCUGGGAAUGACAUCCAAAACUGCACGACUAGAGUAUGGGAGAGGGAGGUAGAAUUCCAGGUGUAGCGGUGAAAUGCGUAGAGAUCUGGAGGAAUACCGGUGGCGAAGGCGGCCUCCUGGCCUAAUACUGACACUGAGGUGCGAAAGCGUGGGUAGCAAACAGGAUUAGAUACCCUGGUAGUCCACGCCGUAAACGAUGAGAACUAGCCGUUGGUCUCCUUGAGAGGUUAGUGGCGCAGCUAACGCGAUAAGUUCUCCGCCUGGGGAGUACGGCCGCAAGGUUAAAACUCAAAUGAAUUGACGAGGGCCCGCACAAGCGGUGGAGCAUGUGGUUUAAUUCGACGCAACGCGAAGAACCUUACCUGGUCUUGACAUCCACGGAAUCCUGCAGAGAUGUGGGGGUGCCUUCGGGAACCGUGAGACAGGUGCUGCAUGGCUGUCGUCAGCUCGUGUUGUGAAAUGUUGGGUUAAGUCCCGUAACGAGCGCAACCCUUGUCCUUAGUUGCCAGCGAGUAAUGUCGGGAACUCUAAGGAGACUGCCGGUGACAAACCGGAGGAAGGUGGGGACGACGUCAAGUCAUCAUGGCCCUUACGACCAGGGCUACACACGUGCUACAAUGGCCGGUACAGAGGGUUGCCAAGCCGCGAGGUGGAGCCAAUCCCGAAAAGCCGGUCGUAGUCCGGAUUGCAGUCUGCAACUCGACUGCAUGAAGUCGGAAUCGCUAGUAAUCGCAGAUCAGAAUGCUGCGGUGAAUACGUUCCCGGGCCUUGUACACACCGCCCGUCACACCAUGGGAGUGGGUUGCACCAGAAGUAGUUAGCUUAACCGCAAGGGGAGCGAUUACCACGGUGUGAUUCAUGACUGGGGUGAAGUCGUAACAAGGUA